rnacentral:rRNA from 1 species
UGAGGAAUAUUGGUCAAUGGACGAGAGUCUGAACCAGCCAAGUAGCGUGAAGGAUGACUGCCCUAUGGGUUGUAAACUUCUUUUAUAUGGGAAUAAAGUAUUCCACGUGUGGGAUUUUGUAUGUACCAUAUGAAUAAGGAUCGGCUAACUCCGUGCCAGCAGCCGCGGUAAUACGGAGGAUCCGAGCGUUAUCCGGAUUUAUUGGGUUUAAAGGGAGCGUAGGUGGAUUGUUAAGUCAGUUGUGAAAGUUUGCGGCUCAACCGUAAAAUUGCAGUUGAUACUGGCGUCCUUGAGUACGGUUGAGGCAGGCGGAAUUCGUGGUGUAGCGGUGAAAUGCUUAGAUAUCACGAAGAACCCCGAUUGCGAAGGCAGCCUGCUAAACCGCCACUGACGUUGAGGCUCGAAAGUGUGGGUAUCAAACAGGAUUAGAUACCCUGGUAGUCCACACGGUAAACGAUGGAUACUCGCUGUUGGCGAUAGACUGUCAGCGGCUUAGCGAAAGCGUUAAGUAUCCCACCUGGGGAGUACGCCGGCAACGGUGAAACUCAAAGGAAUUGACGGGGGCCCGCACAAGCGGAGGAACAUGUGGUUUAAUUCGAUGAUACGCGAGGAACCUUACCCGGGCUUGAAUUGCAGACGAAUUGCUUGGAAACAGGCAAGCCGCAAGGCGUCUGUGAAGGUGCUGCAUGGUUGUCGUCAGCUCGUGCCGUGAGGUGUCGGCUUAAGUGCCAUAACGAGCGCAACCCUCGUGUCCAGUUACUAGCAGGUUAUGCUGAGGACUCUGGACAGACUGCCAUCGUAAGAUGUGAGGAAGGUGGGGAUGACGUCAAAUCAGCACGGCCCUUACGUCCGGGGCUACACACGUGUUACAAUGGGGGGUACAGCAGGCAGCUACCGGGCGACCGGAUGCCAAUCCCGAAAGCCUCUCUCAGUUCGGACUGGAGUCUGCAACCCGACUCCACGAAGCUGGAUUCGCUAGUAAUCGCGCAUCAGCCACGGCGCGGUGAAUACGUUCCC